UAUAUACUCCCUCCGUCCCAAAAUUCUUGUCUUAGAUUUUUCUAGGUACGGAUGUAUCUAAUACUAAAACGUGACUUGAUAUAUCCGUAUUUAGACAAAUCUAAGAAAAGAAUUUUGGGACGGAGGGAGUACUUC
rnacentral:pre_miRNA from 1 species